rnacentral:rRNA from 1 species
GAAUUGACGGGGACCCGCACAAGCGGUGGAGCAUGUGGUUUAAUUCGAAGCAACGCGAAGAACCUUACCAAGGCUUGACAUCCUCCUGCCGGGCUCGUAAUGGAGUCUUUCCCUUCGGGGACGGGAGAGACAGGUGGUGCAUGGUUGUCGUCAGCUCGUGUCGUGAGAUGUUGGGUUAAGUCCCGCAACGAGCGCAACCCUUAUCUUUAGUAGCCAGCGAGUAAAGUCGGGCACUCUAGAGAGACUGCCGGGGUUAACCCGGAGGAAGGUGGGGAUGACGUCAAAUCAUCAUGCCCCUUAUGUCUUGGGCUACACACGUGCUACAAUGGCUGCGACAAAGGGAAGCGAAGGGGUGACCUGGAGCGAAACCCAAAAAAGCAGUCCCAGUUCGGAUUGGAGUCUGCAACUCGACUCCAUGAAGGUGGAUUCGCUAGUAAUCGCGCAUCAGCAUGUCGCGGUGAAUACGUUCCCGGGUCUUGUACACACCG